UGGGGAAUAUUGCACAAUGGGCGCAAGCCUGAUGCAGCCAUGCCGCGUGUAUGAAGAAGGCCUUCGGGUUGUAAAGUACUUUCAGUCGGGAGGAAGGUGUCAAGGUUAAUAACAUUGGCAAUUGACGUUACCGACAGAAGAAGCACCGGCUAACUCCGUGCCAGCAGCCGCGGUAAUACGGAGGGUGCAAGCGUUAAUCGGAAUUACUGGGCGUAAAGCGCACGCAGGCGGUUUGUUAAGUCAGAUGUGAAAUCCCCGGGCUCAACCUGGGAACUGCAUCUGAUACUGGCAAGCUUGAGUCUCGUAGAGGGGGGUAGAAUUCCAGGUGUAGCGGUGAAAUGCGUAGAGAUCUGGAGGAAUACCGGUGGCGAAGGCGGCCCCCUGGACGAAGACUGACGCUCAGGUGCGAAAGCGUGGGGAGCAAACAGG
rnacentral:rRNA from 1 species